UACGUAGGUGACAAGCGUUGUCCGGAUUUAUUGGGCGUAAAGAGCUCGUAGGUGGUUCGGUAAGUCGGAUGUGAAAUCUCCAGGCUCAACCUGGAGGGGUCAUUCGAUACUGCCGUGACUAGAGUUCGGUAGAGGAGUGUGGAAUUCCUGGUGGAGCGGUGAAAUGCGCAGAGAUCAGGAGGAACACCCGUAGCGAAGGCGGCACUCUGGGCCGAUACUGACACUGAGGAGCGAAAGCGUGGGGAGCGAACAGG
rnacentral:rRNA from 1 species